rnacentral:rRNA from 2 species
UUGAACUCGCUGUGAAGAUGCAGUGUACCCGCGGCAAGACGGAAAGACCCCGUGAACCUUUACUAUAGCUUGACACUGAACAUUGAGCCUUGAUGUGUAGGAUAGGUGGGAGGCUUUGAAGCGUGGACGCCAGUCUGCGUGGAGCCGACCUUGAAAUACCACCCUUUAAUGUUUGAUGUUCUAACGUGGACCCGUAAUCCGGGUUGCGGACAGUGUCUGGUGGGUAGUUUGACUGGGGCGGUCUCCUCCUAAAGAGUAACGGAGGAGCACGAAGGUUGGCUAAUCCUGGUCGGACAUCAGGAGGUUAGUGCAAUGGCAUAAGCCAGCUUGACUGCGAGCGUGACGGCGCGAGCAGGUGCGAAAGCAGGUCAUAGUGAUCCGGUGGUUCUGAAUGGAAGGGCCAUCGCUCAACGGAUAAAAGGUACUCCGGGGAUAACAGGCUGAUACCGCCCAAGAGUUCAUAUCGACGGCGGUGUUUGGCACCUCGAUGUCGGCUCAUCACAUCCUGGGGCUGAAGUAGGUCCCAAGGGUAUGGCUGUUCGCCAUUUAAAGUGGUACGCGAGCUGGGUUUAGAACGUCGUGAGACAGUUCGGUCCCUAUCUGCCGUGGGCGCUGGAGAACUGAGGGGGGCUGCUCCUAGUACGAGAGGACCGGAGUGGACGCAUCACUGGUGUUCGGGUUGUCAUGCCAAUGGCACUGCCCGGUAGCUAAAUGCGGAAGAGAUAAGUGCUGAAAGCAUCUAAGCACGAAACUUGCCCCGA